rnacentral:tRNA from 3 species
GGGCGGGUGGCAGAGUGGUUGAAUGCACCGGUCUUGAAAACCGGCAAGGGGGCAACUCCUUCGCGGGUUCGAAUCCCGCCCCGCCCGCCA